AACGAACGCUGGCGGCGUGGAUAAGACAUGCAAGUCGAACGCUCGUUCCGGGGUAGCAAUAUUUCGGAGCGGGAGUGGCGCAAGGGUGCGUAACACGUGGGUCAUUUGCCGUGAAGCUGGGAACAACUCGUUGAAAGACGAGCUAAUACCCAAUGUGCUCCGCAAGGAGUAAAGCCGGGGACCGCAAGGCCUGGCACUUUACGAUAAGCCCGCGGCCUAUCAGCUAGUUGGCGGGGUAAAAGCCCACCAAGGCUAAGACGGGUAGCUGGUCUGAGAGGACGACCAGCCACACUGGAACUGAGACACGGUCCAGACACCUACGGGUGGCAGCAGUCGAGAAUUUUUCACAAUGGGCGCAAGCCUGAUGGAGCGACGCCGCGUGGGGGAUGAAGGGGCUUCGGGCUCGUAAACCCCUGUCAUUCGCGAACAAUGGCGCCGGCCUAACAUGCCGUCGUCUGAUAGUAGCGGAAGAGGAAGGGACGGCUAAACUCUGUGCCAGCAGCCGCGGUAAU
rnacentral:rRNA from 1 species